UGGUUACUUCUUAACACUGUGACCAAAGAUUGAUGUUCUUCACAGAGCAGACCAUGCACUUUGUGAUAGUGCUGCUUUUCUGAGAAGAUAACAUC
rnacentral:snoRNA from 14 species